GACGAACGCUGGCGGCGUGCCUAAUACAUGCAAGUUGAGCGCUGAAGGUUGGUACUUGUACCAACUGGAUGAGCAGCGAACGGGUGAGUAACGCGUGGGGAAUCUGCCUUUGAGCGGGGGACAACAUUUGGAAACGAAUGCUAAUACCGCAUAAAAACUUUAAACACAAGUUUUAAGUUUGAAAGAUGCAAUUGCAUCACUCAAAGAUGAUCCCGCGUUGUAUUAGCUAGUUGGUGAGGUAAAGGCUCACCAAGGCGAUGAUACAUAGCCGACCUGAGAGGGUGAUCGGCCACAGUGGGACUGAGACACGGCCCAAACGCCUACGGGAGGCAGCAGUAGGGAAUCUUCGGCAAUGGACGAAAGUCUGACCGAGCAACGCCGCGUGAGUGAAGAAGGUUUUCGGAUCGUAAAACUCGGUUGGUAGAGAAGAACGUUGGUGAGAGUGGAAAGCUCAUCAAGUGACGGUAACUACCCAGAAAGGGACGGCUAACUACGUG
rnacentral:rRNA from 1 species